UACGUAGGGUGCAAGCGUUAAUCGGAAUUACUGGGCGUAAAGCGUGCGCAGGCGGUUAUGCAAGACAGAUGUGAAAUCCCCGGGCUUAACCUGGGAACUGCAUUUGUGACUGCAGAGCUGGAGUACGGCAGAGGGGGAUGGAAUUCCGCGUGUAGCAGUGAAAUGCGUAGAUAUGCGGAGGAACACCGAUGGCGAAGGCAAUCCCCUGGGCCUGUACUGACGCUCAUGCACGAAAGCGUGGGGAGCAAACAGG
rnacentral:rRNA from 1 species